rnacentral:rRNA from 1 species
CAUGCAAGUCGAGCGGACAGAAGGGAGCUUGCUCCCGGAUGUUAGCGGCGGACGCGGUGAGUAACACGUGGGUAACCUGCCUGUAAGACUGGGAUAACUCCGGGAAACCGGAGCUAAUACCGGAUAGUUCCUUGAACCGCAUGGUUCAAGGAUGAAAGACGGUUUCGGCUGUCACUUACAGAUGGACCCGCGGCGCAUUAGCUAGUUGGUGGGGUAAUGGCUCACCAAGGCGACGAUGCGUAGCCGACCUGAGAGGGUGAUCGGCCACACUGGGACUGAGACACGGCCCAGACUCCUACGGGAGGCAGCAGUAGGGAAUCUUCCGCAAUGGACGAAAGUCUGACGGAGCAACGCCGCGUGAGUGAUGAAGGUUUUCGGAUCGUAAAGCUCUGUUGUUAGGGAAGAACAAGUGCGAGAGUAACUGCUCGCACCUUGACGGUACCUAACCAGAAAGCCACGGCUAACUACGUGCCAGCAGCCGCGGUAAUACGUAGGUGGCAAGCGUUGUCCGGAAUUAUUGGGCGUAAAGGGCUCGCAGGCGGUUUCUUAAGUCUGAUGUGAAAGCCCCCGGCUCAACCGGGGAGGGUCAUUGGAAACUGGGAAACUUGAGUGCAGAAGAGGAGAGUGGGAAUUCCACGUGUAGCGGUUGAAAUGCGUAGAGAUGUGGGAGGAACACCAGUGUCGAAAGCGAC